rnacentral:misc_RNA from 1 species
UGUGAUCCAACCAAUAGCCGA